rnacentral:misc_RNA from 1 species
GUGGGAGGGGGCUUGCCCCCGAUAGCAUUGAGUCAGUCAAUGAAAAUGGUGACUGAUUCACCGCUAUCGGGGGCAAGCCCCCUCCCAC